GACGUAGGGCGCGAGCGUUGUCCGGAUUUAUUGGGCGUAAAGGGCUCGUAGGCGGCUUGUCGCGUCGACUGUGAAAACUCGGGGCUCAACUCCGAGCUUGCAGUCGAUACGGGCAGGCUAGAGUUCGGUAGGGGAGACUGGAAUUCCUGGUGUAGCGGUGAAAUGCGCAGAUAUCAGGAGGAACACCGGUGGCGAAGGCGGGUCUCUGGGCCGAUACUGACGCUGAGGAGCGAAAGCGUGGGGAGCGAACAGG
rnacentral:rRNA from 1 species